GACGAACGCUGGCGGCGUGCUUAACACAUGCAAGUCGAACGCUGAAGCUUGGGUGCUUGCACUGGGUGGAUGAGUGGCGAACGGGUGAGUAAUACGUGAGUAACCUGCCCUUGACUCUGGGAUAAGCCUGGGAAACUGGGUCUAAUACUGGAUACGACAUGUCACCGCAUGGUGGUGUGUGGAAAGGGUUUUACUGGUUUUGGAUGGGCUCACGGCCUAUCAGCUUGUUGGUGGGGUAAUGGCUCACCAAGGCGACGACGGGUAGCCGGCCUGAGAGGGUGACCGGCCACACUGGGACUGAGACACGGCCCAG
rnacentral:rRNA from 1 species